UACGUAGGGGGCAAGCGUUGUCCGGAUUUAUUGGGCGUAAAGAGCGUGUAGGCGGCCACACAGGUCUGCUGUGAAAACUCGAGGCUCAACCUCGAGCUGUCGGUGGAAACCGUGUGGCUAGAGUCCGGAAGAGGAGAGUGGAAUUCUCGGUGUAGCGGUGAAAUGCGCAGAUAUCAGGAAGAACACCCGUGGCUAAGGCGGCUCUCUAGUACGGUACUGACGCUGAGACGCGAAAGCGUGGGGAGCGAACAGG
rnacentral:rRNA from 1 species